GACGAACGCUGGCGGCGUGCCUAAUACAUGCAAGUCGAGCGAAGUUUUUCUGGUGCUUGCCCUAGAAAAACUUAGCGGCGAACGGGUGAGUAACACGUAAAGAACCUGCCUCAUAGACUGGGACAACUAUUGGAAACGAUAGCUAAUACCGGAUAACAGCAUUAACUGCAUGGUUGAUGUUUGAAAGUUGGUUUUGCUAACACUAUGAGAUGGCUUUGCGGUGCAUUAGCUAGUUGGUGGGGUAAAGGCCUACCAAGGCGACGAUGCAUAGCCGACCUGAGAGGGUGAUCGGCCACACUGGGACUGAGACACGGCCCAGACUCCUACGGGAGGCAGCAGUAGGGAAUCUUCCGCAAUGGGCGAAAGCCUGACGGAGCAACGCCGCGUGAGUGAAGAAGGAUUUCGGUUCGUAAAGCUCUGUUGUUAGGGAAGAAUGAUUAUGUAGUAACUAUACAUAGUAGAGACGGUACCUAACCAGAAAGCCACGGCUAACUACGUG
rnacentral:rRNA from 1 species